rnacentral:rRNA from 1 species
UUGUGGUAAGGGGUGAAAGGCCAACCAAAUUCGUAGAUAGCUGGUUUUCCGCGAAAACUAUUUAGGUAGUGCGUUGAAUAAAUAGACAUUUAGAGGUAGAGCACUAAAUGGGCUAGGGGGAAGAGAUUCUUACCAAACCUAAUAAAACUCCGAAUGCUAAAUGUUGUUCUUCAGCAGACAGACUGUGGGUGCUAAGGUCCAUGGUCGAGAGGGAAAGAGCCCAGACCACCAGAUAAGGUCCCCAAAUUAUGAUUAAGUGUGAAAGGAUGUGGAAAUUCCUUAACAGCCGGGAGGUUGGCUUAGAAGCAGCCAUCCUUUAAAGAUAGCGUAACAGCUCACCGGUCUAAUAGAGUUUCUGCGCCGAAGAUGUAACGGGGCUAAAAUCAUAUACCGAAUCUGUGGAUUUAUAAUUUUUUCGAAAAUUAUAACUGGUAGCGGAACGUUCUGUAAGCCUGUGAAGGGGUACCCGUGAGGGAUCCUGGAGGUAUCAGAAGUGCGAAUGCUGACAUAAGUAACGAUAAAAGAAGUGAAAAACUUCUUCGCCGAAAAUCCAAGGGUUUCUGCGCAAGGUAAUCCGCGCAGAGUUAGUCGGCACUAAGGCGAGGGCGAAAGCGUAGUCGAUGGAAAUAAGGUUAAUAUUCCUUAACCAGAUGGUAGUGACGGAUCUUGUAAGUUGUGAGUUCUUAAUGGAUUGAGCUUGCCGCGAAAAGGUUCCAAGAAAUAGCUCCAUCAUUAGACCGUACCCUAAACCGACACAGGUGGAUUAAUAGAGUAUAUUUAGGCGCUUGAGAGAAUGAUGUUGAAGGAACUCGGCAAAAUACUUCCGUAACUUCGGGAUAAGGAAGACCUUUUAGUAGGCAACUAUUAGAGGGUGGCACAAGCCAGGGAGAAGCGACUGUUUAUCAAAAACACAGGGCUCUGCUAACACGUAAGUGGAUGUAUAGGGUCUGACGCCUGCCCGGUGCUGGAAGGUUAAUGCGGUUGGUGAGAGCUAACUUCUGAAGCCCCAGUAAACGGCGGCCGUAACUAUAACGGUCCUAAGGUAGCGAAAUUCCUUGUCGGGUAAGUUCCGACCUGCAUGAAUGGCGUAACGAUUUCUCCGCUGUCUCCAACAUCAACUCAGUGAAAUUGAAUUCUCCGUGAAGAUGCGGAGUUCGCGUAGUUAGACGGAAAGACCCCGUGCACCUUUACUGCAACUUUACAUUGGUAUUAGGAAAAACAUAUUUAGUAUAGGAGGGAGACAUUGAAGCAAAGGCGUCAGCUUUUGUGGAGUCACCAGUGAAAUACCUCUUUUGUUUUUCUUGGUAUCUAA